AUGAGAUUGUGUUCGAAUGAGACAGAAGGAGAACUGGGCACUCCUAUUCUGGAUACAGAGACUCCUUUGGGAGAUGUUGAGGCUGAGGAUGAUGGUUCGGAUUAUGAGCCAUCUUGGGAUAAGAAGCUCAAGUUAAAGAUGAAGAAGUUGCUAUGUAUGGAGGCUCACGAGCAGUAUGUGGCACAUGUGUCAGAGAAGAAAUCACGUAGUCGUCACAAGGUCCUUAUGCGUCAGGUUGGAGUAGAGGUUGUCAAUGGGUCAAAUAACAAGGUCACUGAUGAGGAGGCAUGGAUCUCUCAACACUGUCCCUGGACGGAUUCAGAGACCGAUCAGCUUGCUGCUUCUACCGAUGACGGAGGCGCGAGCGACCAUGCGGAGCUAUGA
rnacentral:rRNA from 1 species